AGAAAGCAUUCCAGGAUGGUGCGUGUGCCUGGAAGCCCUGUCUGUCAGCAGAUGUCACUGCCUCCACCACCUGCAUAUGAGUCAACACCACACAGGCAACCAGCUCAUUGCCCAGAGCUGGAUGGGUCUAUUAUAACGCCUGCCACUUCAUCUUGGGACCCAGUUGAAG